UGUCACACGAGUGAAUCAUCGAAUCUUUGAACGCAAGUGGCGCUCUCACGCUCGCGUGGGAGCAUGCCUCUUUCAGCAUCGGUUAUUCUAAACUCAUCUGCUUGCAGAUGGAGAAUGAGUUGUCGCUUGUUUUCGCAAGAAAGAAAGCGUCACUUGAAGUCUGGCGAGCUCAGUCGCAAGUUUCACUGAGAAAGUGACGUUGGUAGGUAACAAAAAGGCCGUCAAACGUCUUUUGUUUACUUCACGCCGCGUCUGCUUCGUUUGCAGAUGAAGCUGCCCUAUACAUUUAGCAAUAAAUAGAUAGGACGACUAGCGUAAGAGCAGUCUUUUACUUAACAGUAGAAGUAGCUACUCAGCCUUAACGACUUGAUCUGAAAUGAGGUAAGAGGACCCCGCCGGAAUUUAAGCAUAUCAAUAAGCGGAGG
rnacentral:rRNA from 1 species